rnacentral:rRNA from 1 species
GUGUCAGCCGCCGCGGUAAUACGUAGGGGGCAAGCGUUGUCCGGAAUCAUUGGGCGUAAAGAGCGUGUAGGUGGCUCGGUAAGUCCGCUGUAAAAGUCCAGGGCUCAACCCUGGAAAGCCGGUGGAAACUGUCGAGCUAGAGUCCGGAAGAGGCGAGUGGAAUUCCUGGUGUAGCGGUGAAAUGCGCAGAUAUUAGGAGGAACACCAAUGGCGAAGGCAGCUCGCUGGGACGGUACUGACACUGAGACGCGAAAGCGUGGGGAGCAAACAGGAUUAGAUACCCCAGUAGUCC